rnacentral:rRNA from 1 species
GGAGCGGCCGUUGUGGUCUCACUUCACGGUGAGCACUGCAAGCGCCGUUCCUUACCUUUUCUGGGUGGGUAGCGUUCUCUUUACGGGGUGCGCUAUUCCGGCCAGGAUCUUUUACUUUGAAAAAAUUAGAGUGUUUAAAGCAGGCAAUUUUCGCUUGAAUACAUUAGCAUGGAAUAAUAGAAUAGGACUUUGGUUCUAUUUUGUUGGUUUCUAGGACCGAAGUA